rnacentral:rRNA from 1 species
GACGAACGCUGGCGGCGUGCUUAACACAUGCAAGUCGAACGGAAAGGCCCUGCUUUUGUGGGGUGCUCGAGUGGCGAACGGGUGAGUAACACGUGAGUAACCUGCCCUUGACUUUGGGAUAACUUCAGGAAACUGGGGCUAAUACCGGAUAGGAGCUCCUGCUGCAUGGUGGGGGUUGGAAAGUUUCGGCGGUUGGGGAUGGACUCGCGGCUUAUCAGCUUGUUGGUGGGGUAGUGGCUUACCAAGGCUUUGACGGGUAGCCGGCCUGAGAGGGUGACCGGCCAAAUUGGGACUGAGAUAAGGCCCAAACUCCUACGGGAGGCAGGAGUGGGGAAUAUUGCACAAUGGGCGGAAGCCUGAUGCAGCAACGCCGCGUGCGGGAUGACGGCCUUCGGGUUGUAAACCGCUUUCGCCUGUGAAGGAGCGUGAGUGACGGUAAUGGGUAAAGAAGCACCGGCUAACUACGUG